GAACACGAGUCUUUUGGCUAUUAGUCUAAUGCAUUUUCCUCCACAUUAUAUUGCACUGCUCUGAGGCUUGCUUAUAUUUUUCAUACCUGGAUUUCCAGGGUGGUGACGUGGGGGAGGGAAGUAUUCAAUUCAGAACCACCGUGAACCAAGAUCUCUGGAAACAAACUCUGUACUAUUUCUCCUUCAUCUCCUAUUUUCAUAACUAGUGCCAAGCUCAGGACUAACUGCAUAGACUCCCUUUCAAAAGACCAAUAGAUAUUCUCAGUGACAGUUGAACACAUUAGUUUACAAUCACACAGAAUUUGAACAGAACUUAAAGUUGACAGUUAAUGCCGAUCUAUAAUUAACAAAAAUGUCAACUUGUGGAUAUGCUGAUGAUUUUAUCCAGUUUUCAAAAUAUGAUUCCUACAGUUCAGGAUAUCACUUAUUAGAUUGUAGACAAGGAAAAUGUACAUUGGGACAUUAUGUACUUAAGAGUUUUUCCUUAAGUUUUGCAGAGGAAGUGGUUGAAAAUUGAGCUAACACUAGAUUUCGAGGUUACUAAAGAAUUCCAGUUUUCCAGUCUCCCACUUCAAUUACCAGGUAACUAUAAGGCAAAAAUAUCCCAAUGCUGUGAACUUAAGGCAAUAUUCAUUUCCUUUCUACACUACUUGGCAUGGUAACCAUGACAAACUUUUAUUUUCUCUUUCUGAUUUCCUAAUGAAAUCUCAUUAUUUGCAAAGCUUUAAAAUGACUAGAUGAAGGAAAAACAUUGUUAUGACCCAUGACCCUCGGAGCCCAAACAGCACCAUGAAGAGCAUCAUUAAAACUAAGAGAAAGUGGCUAUCAGAAAAUGAAACAGCUUUAAAGGGGUUCCUUUUAAGUCUUGUUUUCUAUUCAGAAUGUUCUGUGUUUUUUCUCAAGUGUGGGAAUGACAUUUAUCUUAGCAGGUUACUCAACUACACUGGAUGAUGUCACUCUAACCAGUGUACGGCACUGACCCAAGUCCUGGGGGGCUCCUUGGACCAAUGGACUAUUUUACAAACCUGGGAGGUGGGAGGGAUGGUAUAUUUUUGAUAAUCAGACAUUCCAAUGUAAUGUUUUCCUUAGAGGUCACACCCUUCCCCCCAUUAAUGUCAUCGUGAGAUACAUCAAGUGUGUUCUUUUCUAUUUUCGUAUAAUAAAUGGGCUUUGCUUAUCAACAUCACAAUGGCAAAGAAGAAAUAUACUGUACAAAACUGCAGGAAGAUAAAACAUGAAAACUUUCUAUGAAAAAAAAAAAACACCCUUGAGUUUCCUGUCGUCUUCUUUUGAAACUGUAGUGCAUAUGUUAAAACAUGUAUAUCAUUUACAGUAUUGAGUCGUGUGCCACUGCUGUACCUGAUGUAUCCAAUCUGGAUUAAACAAAUUAUGUGCCACAAA
rnacentral:lncRNA from 10 species